rnacentral:rRNA from 1 species
AUACCCGUGUAGUCCUAGCCGUAAACGAUACUCGCUAGGUGUCGGCCACGGUGCGACCGUUGUCGGUGCCGUAGGGAAGCCGUGAAGCGAGCCACCUGGGAAGUACGGCCGCAAGGCUGAAACUUAAAGGAAUUGGCGGGGGAGCACCACAACGGGUGGAGCUUGCGGUUUAAUUGGAUUCAACGCCGGAAAUCUUACCGGGACCGACAGCAACAUGAAGGCCAGGCUGAAGACUUUGCCGGAUUAGCUG